rnacentral:rRNA from 1 species
GUGAGGAAUAUUGGUCAAUGGGCGGGAGCCUGAACCAGCCAAGUCGCGUGAAGGAAGAAGGAGCUAUGGUUCGUAAACUUCUUUUGCAGGGGAAUAAAGUGCAGGACGUGUCCUGUUUUGUAUGUACCCUGAGAAUUAGGAUCGGCUAACUCCGUGCCAGCAGCCGCGGUAAUACGGAUGAUCCGAGCGUUAUCCGGAUUUAUUGGGUUUAAAGGGUGCGUAGGUGGUUUGAUAAGUCAGCGGUGAAAGUUUGCAGCUUAACUGUAAAAAUGCCGUUGAAACUGUCGGAGUUGAGUGGAAAUGAGGUAGGCAGAAUGCGUGGUGUAGCGGUGAAAUGCAUAGAUAUCACGCAGAACUCCGAUUGCGAAGGCAGCUUACUAAGCUACAACUGACACUGAAGCACGAAAGCGUGGGGAUCAAACAGGAUUAGAAACCCUUGUAGUCC